rnacentral:rRNA from 1 species
AUUGAACGCUGGCGGCAGGCCUAACACAUGCAAGUCGAGCGGAUGAAGGGAGCUUGCUCCUGGAUUCAGCGGCGGACGGGUGAGUAAUGCCUAGGAAUCUGCCUGGUCGUGGGGGAUAACGUCCGGAAACGGGCGCUAAUACCGCAUACGUCCUGAGGGAGAAAGUGGGGGAUCUUCGGACCUCACGCUAUCAGAUGAGCCUAGGUCGGAUUAGCUAGUUGGUGGGGUAAAGGCCUACCAAGGCGACGAUCCGUAACUGGUCUGAGAGGAUGAUCAGUCACACUGGAACUGAGACACGGUCCAGACUCCUACGGGAGGCAGCAGUGGGGAAUAUUGGACAAUGGGCGAAAGCCUGAUCCAGCCAUGCCGCGUGUGUGAAGAAGGUCUUCGGAUGGUAAAGCACUUUAAGUGGGGAGGAAGGGCAGUAAGUUAAUACCUUGCUGUGUUGACGGUACCAACAGAAGAAGCACCGGCUAACUUCGUG